GAUGAACGCUGGCGGCGUGCCUAAUACAUGCAAGUCGAGCGAACAGAUAAGGAGCUUGCUCCUUUGACGUUAGCGGCGGACGGGUGAGUAACACGUGGGUAACCAACCUAUAAGACUGGAAUAACUCCGGGAAACCGGGGCUAAUGCAGGAUAACAUGUUGAACCGCAUGGUUCUACAGUGAAAGGCGGCUUUGCUGUCACUUAUAGAUGGACCCGCGCCGUAUUAGCUAGUUGGUGAGGUAACGGCUCACCAAGGCAACGAUACGUAGCCGGCCUGAGAGGGUGAUCGGCCACACUGGAAGUGAGACACGGUCCAGAGUCCUACGGGAGGCAGCAGUAGGGAAUCUUCCGCAAUGGGCGAAAGCCUGACGGAGCAACGCCGAGUGAGUGAUGAAGGUCUUCGGAUCGUAAAACUCUGUUAUUAGGGAAGAACAAAUGCGUAAGUAACUGUGCGCGUCUUGACGGUACCUAAUCAGAAAGCCACGGCUAACUACGUG
rnacentral:rRNA from 1 species